UACGUAGGGUGCGAGCGUUGUCCGGAAUUAUUGGGCGUAAAGAGCUUGUAGGCGGUUUGUCGCGUCUGCCGUGAAAAUCCGAGGCUCAACCUCGGACUUGCGGUGGGUACGGGCAGACUAGAGUGUGGUAGGGGAGACUGGAAUUCCUGGUGUAGCGGUGAAAUGCGCAGAUAUCAGGAGGAACACCGAUGGCGAAGGCAGGUCUCUGGGCCACUACUGACGCUCAGGUUCGAAAGCGUGGGGAGCAAACAGG
rnacentral:rRNA from 1 species